GGAAUUUUAGCUGGUUCUUUUGCUAUGCCCAUAGGUAUGAGAAAAUGGCCUAUCAUCCUUAGCUAUAGUUCAUAAAGUUCAUGGCUUCCUGUUCCUUUAAACCUUGUUUUUAAUGCUGCAAUUGCUUUUGCUUUUAGAGUUAAGUUGAUGCUGAAACUAUGUGACAACAUAGGCGUUGUCCACCCCGGCAGUCAGAGGGUGGAGGAUGCCUGCAAGGAAAGAUAACCAAGAAAAUAACAGAUAGAGAUGUUUUUCUGUAACUGUGAUAUCUUCUAGUCAACGAAGCACUCAUACUCUGUACAUGCCUAAAUGCUUAGCUUCUUAUUGGUUGUUGCAUUUUCAGAACUGUAUUAUGAUUGGUGAGAAAGUUCUGCCAUGGUAUCUAAGGGGAACUGACUCUAUAAAUAUGUUGACAUUUCCUGAAAUUAUUGGGCAGUUUCCUCAGACUGCCACCUUGCAGCGCUGCUCGUAAUAAACCUUCUAAGGAGAGAGAAAUUGUGUCUUGAGAGUCUUUGACCACCACUCAGCGAACCACACAGGAACCCGUGGUUUCGGGUUCCACCACAAUUUGGCGACGAGGAUGGGAUGAGUGGUACACUGGAGAGCCUCUGCUCAUGGAGACCUGACACAGGAAAUCCUCCAACGUGCGCACAGAUCAGACUAUUAGUUCAACUCCAAAGAAAAAUGAGAAACAAGCAACUGCUUCCAGCUGAUGUUCCAUGUCAUCAUUUCCAACCAAGAGAUGCAGUGUUCAUAAAAGUCCAUAAAAAGCCCAAUUCGUUGGCUCCUACUUAGGACGGGCCUUGUAUUGUGUUGCUGAACACACACACCUGGAUACAUGCAGCCGCCCAUGUGAAAAAGCUAAAUCCAGGAUGCCAGACAGAUGAUCCAGAUGAUCCAGUUGCACUAGAAAGUUACUCAGACCUGAUUGAGAUGUUAAAGGAUGAAAGAAGCUGCCAGGAGGAAGCCAAGAGAGCCCCCUGCACAUGCUAAGCGACCAAGUGUCCAGUGGAGAGAGCGAGUUGAGGCUGAAGAGCAGGAACUCCCCUCCACGGAACGACAUCUGGUCAGUCAACAAGAUCAGCUGUCCUUUUAACCUCAAGUCAAGAGUUUCUGAGUUAACGAGGCAUAAUAACCCUCCAACGAAAUCUGGAUGCUCUAAGAGACAUUCAGUGAAGAGAAGAUAUUAAGACAACGCCGUUACAACUACUUUGUGUGUUUUUAAUCUCUAUAGUUCUCUGAAUUGUAAAAAUGAAAUUUGAGUGUGUGUUAUUUCUUAUUAUACAAGCCCUGCCUUGCAUUGCAAUCCAAAAAAGAGUCUCAAAAGCAUCCCAUGACUUGAGCAGGUAAAAAAAAAAAAAAAAAAGUGUUUAGUUGCAUUAUUAAGCAAAGAACAAAAGAGUGAAGAUUAGAGCUUUAAUAGAGAAUGGUUUUAUGGCUAUGGGCAAAGCAACGACCAUCAGGAGGGAAUCUGUCGCGGAAUUUUAGCUGGUUCUUUUGCUAUGCCCAUAGGUAUGAGAAAAUGGCCUAUCAUCCUUAGCUAUAGUUCAUAAAGUUCAUGGCUUCCUGUUCCUUUAAACCUUGUUUUUAAUGCUGCAAUUGCUUUUGCUUUUAGAGUUAAGUUGAUGCUGAAACUAUGUGACAACAUAGGCGUUGUCCACCCCGGCAGUCAGAGGGUGGAGGAUGCCUGCAAGGAAAGAUAACCAAGAAAAUAACAGAUAGAGAUGUUUUUCUGUAACUGUGAUAUCUUCUAGUCAACGAAGCACUCAUACUCUGUACAUGCCUAAAUGCUUAGCUUCUUAUUGGUUGUUGCAUUUUCAGAACUGUAUUAUGAUUGGUGAGAAAGUUCUGCCAUGGUAUCUAAGGGGAACUGACUCUAUAAAUAUGUUGACAUUUCCUGAAAUUAUUGGGCAGUUUCCUCAGACUGCCACCUUGCAGCGCUGCUCGUAAUAAACCUUCUAAGGAGAGAGAAA